rfam:Arabis alpina cultivar Pajares Aa.chr7_contig_1294, whole genome shotgun sequence.
GCGCAUCUGGUGUAGUGGUUACAUAGUACCCUUUCAUGGGUACUGACCAAAGUUCGAUUCCCUGGAUCCGCA